rnacentral:rRNA from 1 species
AUUGAACGCUGGCGGCAUGCCUUACACAUGCAAGUCGAACGGUAACGCGGGGCAACCUGGCGACGAGUGGCGAACGGGUGAGUAAUGCAUCGGAACGUGCCCAGUAGUGGGGGAUAGCCCGGCGAAAGCCGGAUUAAUACCGCAUACGACCUGAGGGUGAAAGCGGGGGAUCGCAAGACCUCGCGCUAUUGGAGCGGCCGAUGGCAGAUUAGGUAGUUGGUGGGGUAAAGGCCUACCAAGCCUACGAUCUGUAGCUGGUUUGAGAGGACGACCAGCCACACUGGGACUGAGACACGGCCCAGACUCCUACGGGAGGCAGCAGUGGGGAAUUUUGGACAAUGGGCGCAAGCCUGAUCCAGCCAUGCCGCGUGCGGGAAGAAGGCCUUCGGGUUGUAAACCGCUUUUGUCAGGGAAGAAAUACUCUGGGCUAAUACCCUGGGGUGAUGACGGUACCUGAAGAAUAAGCACCGGCUAACUACGUGCCAGCAGCCGCCGUAAGAC